CACCUAUCUAUUUCUUUCGGUCCAUGUGGCGCACAUUGUACAUUAAAAAAUUCGACACUGGUUGGUAGAGUUCUGAUAAAAAAUUGCAGAACAACCACGCAAUACAUGCUCCAUAGUCUCUGCACCACCUGUACAUCUCGGGCAAAUCACAGAUUCCACCAAUCUCUUGUAAUGGAAAUUACUAAAAGUAGGAAGAUAAUUUUUUGUAGCUUUCCAAAAUGUGAUUUUCACUUUUUGAGGCAAUUUCAAAGCCCAUCAUUUCUAGUAAAAAGUAGAAUAGGCAAAUAGAUUGCAA